GACAUUUUUACAUCUCGGGGUUUUUGUGUUCUUCGUUCACAAUAACAUUAGUGUUUCGCUAACGUUAGCAUGAUAGCUAACUCGUUUAAUGUCAACUUUCUUCAGGCAACAUUAGUUGAUGAUACACAAGUCACAAAUGGCAAACUUACCAACUGCAACAGAUAUAAGAUAACGUGAUCUGUUUAUUUUGGGGAGGGUUGGGAAUGACUGUUACGACGAAGUUGUUUUGUCCAGAGGAUGUUGUCAGUGUGUUGCUAGCUAACGCUAACUAGAUAAUGUAUAGCUAGACUAGCUUCUAUGCUAGUUAAAACAGCUUGUAGAUUAAAUAUUCUUCACUACACUUCAUUAAACAAGUAUGAAUAUAAGGGAGCAAAACUCUUUGGUUUUGGCUCCUGGACACUGCAGCAAUAAAUCAUAAUAAUAACUAAAUAGGAAGCAUAUUUAUUGGACUUUGAAGUGCCAGUUUGUUUGGAGAUUUGGCUAGCUAGAUUCAGUUACAGUAUCAUAUCUUUCUGAAUCAGGAGUUAUUUAGUUGCAAGUCUACAUAUUGUUUUUGGAUAGAACAUCAUCAUGUAGGCUAUUAUUUAGGCAUUGUUCAAAUAACAAUAGCUGGAAUCUGAGAGGGGGGGACUCACAAAUAUGUUAAUCUGUAGGCUAUAGGCUAGGCCUAAUUUUUGUGUUUCUUUUUUUAGGAGACAUGGUUGACAGUUGGACCAUCCAUGAGGUCUGUUUGUGGCUGGAGCAGAGUACCUUAAGUGAAGCAAAGCAAAUCUUCCAAGGUAACAGAUCUUGCCCUUGGCAAUAAUGGAACAUUUCUUCAGAUGUGGGUUUUGCCGUGUAGUUAAGUUCACUAUCCAAAAAUACCUGAGCCAUUUGCUAUUGACACACCAGCAUCAACCAAAUUUUUCUGCAUCAUGUGUGGUUGAACAGUGCAGGAAGAAAUACAAAAGUGUUGGAUCAUUAAGAAUUCACAUUUACAGAAACCAUCGUUGUUAUUUACAAAACAACCCUGUGCCUCGUGCAGAUAAUUUUGAACCUGAGUCUGAGUCUGAGUCUGAUUCCGAUGCAGUUCAAGAUGAGGAUUUAGAAGAAGAGCCUGUGAUUGGUGACAGUUUAGAUAUUCUUCUGUCUGGAUUGAAAAAACAUGUUGCUCUCUUCAUACUCAAUCUCCAGGAAAAACAUCUCCUUCCUAAAUCAACCCAAGAUACCAUUGUUACAGAUCUAAAUUUUUUCCAAGAACAUUACUCAGAUAUUGUGAAAUUCCAUCUGCAUCAAUCUGGCUUUGUUAUUGAGGAAAAUGAAGAAUUGGACAGUCUUCUGUCGGACACAACAGUAUUUGAUCGGACAUUUGAAUUUGUGCAGUCUGAAUACAUGUUACUGCAAUAUGCAUCAACCAAUCUUGGGAUGGUAUCUCCUGUACAGCAUGUGUUGGGAGUGAAUGAAAGGGGGUUGCCUGACACUUUUCAGUAUGUUCCCAUUGAGGCUCUGUUGAAAGUCAUUUUGGGGAAAGAUGACAUCUUUAAUAACAUUGCACAUGGUAGAAUCCAUGAAGAAGGCUUUAUAAGCUACUUCACCGACGGAGAGAUUUUUCAGAAAUUCCCUUUCAAUGGUGAUGAAAACAUAAUUAGGCUUCAUUUUUACACAGACAAAUAUGAAAUUGUAAACCCCCUUGGAUCCAAAAAGGCGAUUCACAAAAUCUGUGCAUUCUAUUUUUCUAUUGGAAACAUUGAGCCAAAGUACAGGACACAACUUCGACACAUUCAUCUGUCAAUACUUGUGAGAAAUCAGCUUCUGAAAAGAUAUACAUACACUGAUAUCUUGAAUCCACUGGUUACAGACCUUCAAAGGCUUUACAGAGAUGGUUUCACAGUCAGCCAUGAUGGGGAAUUUGUUCAUGUACGUGCAGUCCUAGCUACAGUGUCAGCAGAUAAUCUCUCAGCCCAUAAACUUGCAGGGUUUUCUUGUAGUUUUAGCCACGGGCGUGUGUGUCGUUUUUGCAUGAUUGACCAUUCAGACAUAGCCAAAAAACUAUCAGAAGAGGAAGUUACUAUCAGAUCACCUGAAGUCCAUAGUUACCACCUUGAGGCUCUUAGGGAAAAUCCUGGCAUUUCAAAACGAACAUAUGGUGUUGUCAGUGAUUGUCCUUUCCAUGCCCUGGAGUAUUUUGAUGUCACGUCAUGUUUUCCACCUGAUGUAAUGCAUGACAUUUUAGAAGGUGCUGUUCCUCAAGUGCUGUCACAACUUUUUUUAGCCCUACAUAAAAACAAAAUUAUCUCAUUGGAAAACAUCUGUAAUGAGAUUGAAGCAUUUCAAUUUGGGCAAAAUGAUAAAGGAAACAAACCACAAAAAAUAAACAUAACCUCAAUCAGAAGUGGGCGCUUGCCAGGUUCUGCAAGUGAAAGAUGGUGCCUUUUUCGCCUUUUGCCUUUCAUUAUUGGCCAUCACAUUCCAGUGGGAAAUCCACACUGGGAGCUCUAUCUUUUGUGCAGAGAUGUUGCAGAUAUAAUCCUUUCUCCAUCAAUCAAGCAGAGCAUUCUCCAUUACCUUGCCAUUCAGAUUGGACACUUCCUGUCUUUAUUCAGUUCUCUGUUUCCUGGAAAAGUCACCCCAAAAUUGCAUUAUCUAAUUCACUACCCAAGACUAAUUGAAAAAUUUGGACCCUUAAGACACCUAUGGUGUAUGAGAUUUGAAGGAAAGCACCAGUAUUUCAAGAGGCUGGCCCGAAAUGCUUUCAAUUUUAAAAACAUCUGUCUCACACUGGCCAAACGUCACCAACUUAGACAGUGCUGGGAGUUAACUUCAGUGGAUGUACUCAGGCAGGAUGAGUAUACUGAGAGGGGAUGUUCUUGUCCGGUGAGGUCUCUGUCACAAGAAAUUCGAUUGGGCCUUACACAGAGAUUUGGCGCAGAAAAUAUUGAAUUGGAGGAGGAUGUUUUGGUGGUUCAGAAGCUUUGCCUUGACAAUGUUUUGUAUUCCAUCAACAACAUUUUAGUGUUAGAUGUGAUUGAAGAGGACAUCCCUGUUUUCAUAAAAAUAAGGAAGGUACUCCGCUUCAGAGGCAGUUGGCUUUUGUUUUCGCAACUUUUUAUCCCCUCUCAGUACAAUUAUCACCUGCAUGCUUUUGAGGUGAAAGAUGAUGGAGGUCAAUGGAUUAUCAUCCAACCUGGUGAAGAGCAUGAUUAUCAUUCCCUUGAUCUCUAUCACCUUGAUGAUAAUACUGCCAUUAGCCUUCACCAUGCUGUAUAUAAAAGAUGAAGAAAUCGAUGGAGAAACACUGUUGGGCUUGACAGAAAAUAUGGUGGCGCGCCUCUUUCCCCGAAUGAAACAGCAAGUGAAAUUUAUAUCAGAAUUGGAAAAAUUAAAAAAUGGCCAUCCUCCAACACGAAAUGACAAUCUUGCAGUACCCCCACCAACCCAAACUACUCCGACUCCAAUCCCCACAACAACAGCCUGGCCUGCUUUAUAUACCCUCCCAGUAUUCAGCCCAGAGGUAUCCAAGCCAUAAAAUGUAUAGCGAUGUCCUGGGAGCACUUAUAACCCGGUAUCCAUUUCUCAGGGAUGGAAGCCUCUCUGGAUUUGAAACCCUUUUGGAGUGCCUAAAAAAUAAAUUCAAAAAAGAGCGGAGAACCCUUGUACACAUGGACAAAGUCCUAGAAAUGAAGCAGAAAUAUGGGCAAAAACAUCCAUCAACAACAACAGGGUUGACAAGACCAAGCCCCAAUAGGAAACGACAACUCUCAACCGAACCAGUGGAAGCGGAGGAUACUCAAAGUAUUGCUGAACACUUGAAAGCCAUCACUGAAGAGCUACACAAAAGCAGGCCAAAUUUUGAGAACAUCAAGUGGAGGAUGGAAAGGACUCUGCAUGCACGAACUCCACUCUAUAAGAUCUCUACAGCUGCAGAGCUAUUCCAGCAGUGUCCAUUCCUAAAAGUCCCUUGUCUGCUACUUUACGAAAUGAAGCUAAGAUUUGGCCAGGACUUGGACUUGGUGCUUAGCAGUUACCUGCAUAAUGCUGCUGAGAAGAUAGUUGAGACCUGUAAAGGACCACUAAAGAACUCAUUUACUGCUACAAUGUUGCAGGCACACCCACUGCAAUCAAAAUGUAUGCUGAACAAUGCUGCCGUGAUGCUCCUGCCGACACUGAUGAAGGAAAACCAUAAAUUACUGUACUGCAUCAAUGAGGAACCACCAGCACCGACGCCAACCAUGAUGAUUCGUUGUGAAAAUUCUCCUUUGGCGGAAGUAAUGGUUUCCAUCAAGAUUGAUGGCGAAUUUGUCAUUGGCCCCUCCCCUGACAUUGAUGCCUCCUUAGGCCUU